UCGCCCUGGGAUGGGCCCGCGUCGGAUUAGCUAGUUGGUGGGGUAACGGCUCACCAAGGCGACGAUCCGUAGCUGGUCUGAGAGGAUGAUCAGCCACACUGGGACUGAGACACGGCCCAG
rnacentral:rRNA from 1 species